AAUAGGAAUAUUAGAAAAACCAAAUCCUAUUCUCAAAAGGAAAUAACAUGCGGCUUCAAUUGAAAGAAGGAGCUUUGGGUUUUAAAGGAAAAAUAGGAAAGAAUGCUCAAUGGUCCAGCCGAUAUCCACGCUUUGCUCCAAAAGUAGCUGAUGAUGGCAGCUCAAUCAAAAAGACCAUCUGUUUAUUUUGACAUCUAACGUCUCAGCAAUUGCUUAGAAGAUGCGACCCACCAUUUCUACAAUAUCAGCAAUCAACGUUGGGUUCUUCUUCAUGAGAAAGGCAACAAUGUGAUGGUAAGCUUCUCUAGCUCAAUCUUUCUGGCGCUGGUCACUAAGACCAGUUGUGGAUAUAAAUUGACACUUGCACAGAUGCACUCCAGGUGUUUGAUGAAAUGGCACUCCAGGUGUUUGAUGAAAUGACAGAGUGAGUUCUUGAGAUUUUGUUGAGAUGAUAAUUCCACCCAUUUUGAUCCCCUUAAGCUUCCAAAAUUAUAGUUUUUGCUCCAAAGCCUUGCUAA